UGUAAUGGCCCCUUUAAGAAAUCUUCUCUCUCGCUCUCUCUUCUCGCGAUACUGUUUGCGCGAUUUGGAUGCGUGCGCGCGACCAGAGAAGCCAUUCUCACUGUACAUGAGAGCUCCAUGUGGUAGUGCAUGCAUUUCGUCUAAUCUAAUGUAGUUUCAUCAUCUUUUCGGUCAAUGCUUUUGGAUCGCGUGUCUGACGAGUGAACCUCGUGGCAAAUAGUAAAGGAUUAUUGGUUCAAGACAUUAUCUUGACCAAUAUGGAUUGAUGUGACCGAGAGACUGUCACGGGGCAUUUCAAGGUCAACAUGUUCAUUUUCUCCACAUCAGACAGGUUGAUCUGAACUGAAUAAUAUGCAGCAUGUAUGAGCCGGGCACCUGAAGAUAUUGGCCCAAGAAAAUGUAGCCUUAAGAAGUUAAAUCAGUGCGUUUGAAUGGUUAGUUUCAAUGAAAAUUAUUUCACAGGUUAAAUUGAAUUAUCACUUAGUAGUGUUCACAUUUAAACUUCUGUGACAUUAUUGGCACCAAUCUAUAGAAACGACAAUCUAUAGUCUAAAGUCACAGACAGAAGACAGGAAAAAGUGGAUCAGACUCAAACGUUGUUCAUAGGGGUUGCUUGAUCAUAAUAUAUACAUACAUUUAUAUAAUAUAUAUAAAAAGAUUCUAACAUUUUCAUCAUAUUUUUUUAGCCCUCUUAAGUGUUCAUAAGGAAAUAUCAAGAAACAUCUUAUCUAGAAAGACAUGUUUAGGGUAUGAUAUCUUAAGAAUUAUGAUUGCUGGCCUCAUAGGAGUUGUUCCCUUCAAGUACAACUGAUUCAGCAUAUCCUCAGAGUACAAAGAUUUGCAUAACUGCCUACUAAAGUUGGUGAAAAGUAUUUUAAAAAAACUUGUUAAUACGUGUGGUAUUGGGGCCUUCCUUAAAAAAAAAGAAAAGAAAAAAAAAAAAAGACCAAAGUUAGGCUACUAAUAAUUGUGUUUUUACCCUUAAACAUAAACUUUGCUUCAUAUACAGGUACAUAUGUGGAUAUGAAAAUCUUCGAAUCUGCAACAAACCUUAAUUAUUUUCACGUCCAGUGCCCACGUUGUUAGCAAAUAUAGCAAAUGCACUCGCGGCCAUCUAUUCGCCCAUGGGUGUGCUGGUCUGAAAACGAGGUGUGUUCAGGUGCAUUGUUGGCGUGUUGCUAUUUUGAGGUAACUGAAAACAACUGCACCAUUGAUCAACUGAAACCUGGUCUAAAGUCAAUGGCGCAGUAUUUAUUUUUUUAUUUAAAGAGCGUGUUAGUAAUAUGCACCUAUAGGUUGGUGCACAACACACGUACACUCUGCUUGUUACACACACAGGGACGUGCAGCAGCACACAAACAUUUUUAAAUAUUAAAAAUAAAAGGAUUCCUCACUGGAGAAGCGUUCAGUCUUUCCGCUUGCAAAUUCCGCCAUGUAAAUGGCAAUCUGCCGUGGUGCAGGCGCAACUGGCUUUUAAAGGUAAUGGGAGAUGAGACUCUGAUUGGUUUAUUGCACGUUACACCCAAAACACACCCAUGACUCAUUAAGAGAAUAGGGACAGCCCUUUUGGGACUUCAGAAAUCCAGAUUACCAUCUACCACUUUAUAUGCUCAAGCUUUAUAUGGAUUCUGAUUGGCUGUCAGCUGGAUAAAGUUGCUUUGAAAGUGAUUCCAACUAUACCAAUCCUCUGUGUCAUUAACGUUACAGCUGUGGUUUGGACUUCACUAUUCUUAUUGCAUUAUGCUGAUUAUUAAACCUUUAUAACCCAAUAAAGGUUUAAUAAUCAUUAUAAUGCAAUGAGAAUAGUGACGUAUUUAUUGUAAUAGUCCACUUUAAACAUUCUACUAGUAACUUUGCAACAUGUCAACUACACUCUAAAAAUGCUGGGUUAAAAGCAACCCAAGUUGGGUUAAAAAUGGACAAACCCAAUGAUUGGGCUAUUUUAACCCAGCUGCUUUGUUAAAUGUUUGACCAAC